CAAACGGCGCCCGAGUCGGCAAAUUGAGAAAUGCUAAUCAACAUCCUCCCACGAGGGCCCAGUCGACUCUGCCAGCCUGACUCUUACCCGAGUCACUCCGAAACGAUCACCCCGGAGCGGCGAGCGUUCCAACCCAAGAGAUACCUUCCAUCGCACAAAGGAGAGCAGUGAGUUGGCCCAGAUCCCGACCAACGCCGACCAACAUUUCUUCUCAAUGGCACGACCGCAUCAUCAUUCUACUCACCCCAUAAGAAGCUCCGAACAUUGAUCCGUAGAUCUAAUCGUACUGACUCAUUGCCACGAUACUUUUGUUUACUGAUAAACGGAGAAUCAACGAUGGCGUCCACCAAAAGUCCAGAGGAUCAUGACACAGCCCAGCAAUCUAAUUUUCAGCCUCCUCCAAAGCAAAGCUCGCAUCUAAAUAUGGCUUUUUGAGCAGAAGGAUUUGAGGAUUGAGGGGCGCAUCAUUGGUUUUGAUGAAUACAUGAAUUUGGUCUAGGAUGAAGCUGAAGAACUCAAUGUCAAACAGAAAAAAAAGAAAAGCCAGAGAACCAUUGGGGAAUCAUGGAGUCAAUAACAGCAGCAGCCAUGGAUGGUUAAAGCACUUGAGAUGAGACCUCCAAAUAUAUUGUGUCUUCUUCUUGUGCUUCCCGUGACAGUGGGAGGAAAUAUUCCAACUUCGUUGUCGAAAACAAAGAUUCAUCACAAUAUAUUCCACCGAAUAUAAU